UCCGUAGGCGGUGCGGCAAGUCGGAAGUGAAAUCUCAGGGCUUAACCCUGAGGCUGCUUCCGAAACUGCCGUGCUCGAGUGCGAGAGAGGCGAGUGGAAUUGCAGGUGUAGCGGUGAAAUGCGUAGAUAUCUGCAGGAACAUCCGAGGCGAAAGCGGCUCGCUGGAUCGCAACUGACGCUGAGGGACGAAAGCUAGGGGAGCAAACAGGAUUGGAUACCCUGGUAGUCCUAGCCCUAAACGAUCAGGACUGGGCGUGGGCCUCGUACGGGGCUCGUGCCGCAGCUAACGCGUUAAGUCCUGCGCCUGGGGAGUACGGUCGCAAGGCUGAA
rnacentral:rRNA from 1 species